rnacentral:rRNA from 1 species
UGAGGAAUAUUGGUCAAUGGGCGGGAGCCUGAACCAGCCAAGUCGCGUGGAGGAAGAAGGUUUUCGGAUUGUAAACUCCUGUCGUUAGGGACGAUAAUGACGGUACCUAACAAGAAAGCACCGGCUAACUACGUGCCAGCAGCCGCGGUAAAACGUAGGGUGCAAGCGUUGUCCGGAAUUACUGGGUGUAAAGGGAGCGCAGGCGGACCGGCAAGUUGGAAGUGAAAACCAUGGGCUCAACCCAUGAAUUGCUUUCAAAACUGCUGGCCUUGAGUAGUGCAGAGGUAGGCGGAAUUCCCGGUGUAGCGGUGGAAUGCGUAGAUAUCGGGAGGAACACCAGUGGCGAAGGCGGCCUACUGGGCACCAACUGACGCUGAGGCUCGAAAGUAUGGGUAGCAAACAGGAUUAGAUACCCUGGUAGU